rnacentral:RNase_P_RNA from 1 species
CCAGAUGACAGGGCGGUCGCGGUGCGGCAACGUGCCGAGGAAAGUCCGGGCUUCACGAAGACAGGGUGCCGGGUAACGCCCGGCGAAAGCGAUUUCAGGGAAAGCGCCACAGAAAGCAAACCGCCAUAUCGUCUGAUAUGGUAAGGAUGAAAGGGUGCGGUAAGAGCGCACCGCCUUUGCAGCAAUGUGAAGGGCACGGCAAGCCCCACCCGAAGCAAGACCAAAUAGGGAUGACACAUGGCAUGUCUUUGCGCCGUCAUCCGGGUCGGUCGCGCGAGGUGUCUGGUAACAGGCAUCCCAGAGGAAUGAUCGUCGCCUUUGACGCUUGCGUCGAAGGAUACAGAACCCGGCUUACACGUCAUCUGGCCUU